ensembl:lncRNA
GCAUUUCCAGGUGAUACUGAUAAUGAUGUUCAACCACUCUAAUGAGGGAACUGCCUCAUUAGAGGAUUUCUACCUUUUUUAUUAAAGCACAGGUGAAAAGGAAUUGGGGUUUUUUUUUUAAGGAAGAGGGCUUUGCCUCAGGUCAGAAACCCAAGGAUUUACUCAGCCUACAUAUUGUUCUAAGUCUGGAAGGCACCUCUGCUACCAAAAACCAUUUAGCGAUACUCGUCAAUCCAGGGAGGAGUUCUUUCUUUCUACAGCCAUUUAUUGCGCGAUGAAAAAGUGAACAUAAGCUUAACCCAUGGCCAGAUUGCUGUCUUAUGGUCACAAGAUGGCUCAAGAAGCUUCAGUCACCUACAGGAUGCUUUAUUCCAAUCAGAGGCUGAAAGAAGCGGCUGUGCCUCUUACGUCUUUUCUCUUCUAAGAGGUACACAGAAAUGCCAGAAGCUCCCAGCAGACACUUCCCUGUACAUUUCAUGGCCAGGACCAGAUCACAUGACUCUACCUUGCUGCAAGGGGAGCUGGGAAAUCAAAGACCCUUACUGAAACUGUUAAGAUUGGCUCAGUCUAAUCAUAACCCAUCACCUGAGUCUGGGCACAUUGCUACCCUAAGGAUAAAGCAUAGGGGUGAAUACUGAGUAGAAACUAACAGUGUCUGUCGCAUAUGGCUGUAUUUUAUCCUUCAUUACUAUGAUGUAAGUAGUCCUCCUCUAUAUAAUAAAGCAGUCCAUGUAUUCACUAAAAGAGAAUUACCUUGUACUCUAAAAUUCGUAACUCUACAAAUGCCAAAAUGCCUCUGUGAAGUAUCUUUAUUUAUUGACUCUCUGUCUCUUUUACUUUCCUGGGAGAAAAUUCAACUAAUUUGUCAAAGAUUUAAUUACAGACCCAGAAUAGGAAUCAAAUAGAACCUACCCCUCAAAAUGUGUAAAUAUGAAUUAUCAUAAAACUUUCCUGAAAGCAAAAGAUACUCCCAAAUAUAAGCUGUAUGGUAGUUGCAUAGGCAAAUGGGCACUCUCACUUUUUUGAUUCUAGAGUCUUUGACAGUGAGUAGAUUCUAAAGUUUGGGUCACAUGUCUGUGUUACAUCAUUUAAUCAUGAGGAUGUUGAAGUAAAUCUUUGAAAAUAAAUCUAAUAAAUAUAUAAUAAAUAUCCACUUUGUUUCAGAAACUGUGCUAGUACAAUGGAGAUUAAAAAGAUGCAAAUUAAAUUCUUCCUUCAAGCUCACAGCAAAAUGACAUGAAUUUCUCAGAAACUCAGGAUAAAAAGUAUUCAAAGUCUCAACAGUAAAUUGGGUGGUUUUUUUGUUACCAAGAUUACCAGCUUGGGAGUUCUGAUAUCCAAAGUAUGAAGCUAUAAGUACAGGAAGAUUCACCCGGAGCUAACAUCUGUGCCAAUCUUCCUCUACUUUGUAUGUGGGAUGCCUCCACAGCAUGGCUGAUGAGUGGAGCAAGUUCACACUGAGGAUCUGAACUUGCAAACCUGGGCUGCCGAAGUGGAGCAUAAAGAAAUUUAACCAGUCAGCCACGGGGCUGGCCCCCUGGAUUGAGUAUUUUUUAACUUCCAUUUUACUUAUUUCCAUUAUUGGAUUAUUACUUUUACUGCUUUUUAAAAAUGUUUGAUCUCAUGUGCUAGCAUUGGCAGUAUACAUCUCUAAUUACUUGCAUUCUAUCUUCACAUAAUAGGUAGGUUGAAGACUCAUAACAGUAUACUUCCAAUUCCACCUUUCCUGCCUUUGAGCUAUUGUUGCUAUAGAUUUUACUUUUAUAUAGUGUAUAAAGGCAUGAUAAAUUUGUGCUAUUUUUGCUUUAGACAAUUUUCUAUUAGUGUCAUUAAAAAUAAAAAAACUCUUUUGUGUUUACUUUCAUUUUAACCAUUUCUAGAGAUCUUUAAUGCUCUGUAUAAAUCUAAGCUUGUGUCUUAUAUCAUAUUCUUUCUGCCUGAAGAACUUCCUUUUACACUUUAUAGUGCAUGUGUACUGGUAAUGAAUUCUUUCAUCUUUUCUUUGUCUGAAAAAGAUGUUAAUUUGCCUCAUUUUUGAAGGAUAUUUUUGUUGUGUAUAGAAUUCUCAGUUGCAAUUUUUUUCUUUCAACAUGUCUUCUUAUUCUCAUACUUUCUGAUGAGAAAUCUGUUGUCAGUUUUACCUUCAUUCCUCUAUAUGUAAUGUGCCCUUUUUCUCUGGUUGUUUUUAAUAUUUUCUUUCUCUCUCUCUUUUUUUUUUUUUUUUUCUUUUCACUGCCUUGUAUAUAUGUCUAUUUUUUUUUAAUUAUUUAUCCUGCUUGGGAAUCUCUGAGCUUCUGGAAUAUGUGCAUUUGAUGUGCUUCAUUAUUUUUGGAAAAUCGUUAACCAUCAUCCUUCAAAUAUUUAUUCUGUCUAUUCUCUCUCUUAACUUCUUCUAGAUUUCAGUUGGUGUAUGUUAGACCAUUUGAUAUCAUCUUAUAGCCCUUGGAUGCUCUCAUCUGUUUCAUUCAGUCUCUGUCUCUUUGUAUUUCAGUUUAGGUAAUUUCUAUUGACCUAUCAUUAAGGUUGCAGAUUGUUUUAUUUAGCUGUAUCAUGUCUAUUAAAGUAAAAGUUGAGGGCAUUCUUCUUUUGUUUCUGUGUAUUUGUUUCUAGCAUUGUCAUUUGACCCUUUCUUAUAGUUUUCAUAUCUCCACUGAAAUUCAAUAUCUGUUCAUGCAUGUUGACCUCCGAUCCUGCUAGAGCCUUUCACAUGUUUGUUAUAGUGAUUUUAAAUUUACUAUAUGGUGGCUCAACAUAUGGGUCAUCUCUGGAUCUAUCAGUUGCUUUUUCUCUCGUCAGUAGGUUGUUUUGUUCUUGCUUUUUUGUAUUUUUCAUUGAAUAGUGAGUAUCAUGUGUAGAACAGUAGAGAGUGAGAUAACUACUAUUUCUGCUUGGAAAUGGGUCUACCUGUCUUCUGCUAGGCUGUUAUUGUGGGGUGUUAGGUCAGUCUAUUCAGAAGUGAGCAGGGUUUGGGUUUUGCUGUUGCUGUGGGUUCAUUCACUAUAUCCCCGGCUUCAAAUUCCUCUAGCAUUACCUCCUGUUUGGGGUGGGGUCUUGUUUGCCAUUGGUUUUUUUUGUUGUUGUUGUUAAGGAAGAUUGGCCCUGAGCUACCAUCUCUUCCCUAUCUUCCUCUUUUUGCUUGAGGAAGAUUGUCCCUAAGCUAACAUCUGUGCCAGUCUUCCUCUAUUUUAGGAGUGGGAUGCUGCCACAGCAUGGCUUGAUGAAUGGUGUGUAGGUCUACACUCAGGAUCUGAACCUGUGAACACCAGGCCACCAAAGUGGAGCAUGUAAACUUAACCACUACACUACCAGGCUUGCCUUUGCCAUUGGAUUUUCUUAAUGUUUCUGCU